UAAUUAAUGGAGGGAGUAUUAAAUUACAGCUGAGUACCGCACGGCGCUGCUGCCCGCGUGCGCCCACGAGCCGCCGCACGUCGUCUCCUCCUUCCUUUUCCCAUCUACUCGCUCGUCCUGGCCGCCGGAGCCCCUCUCCCCGCCGAGGGCUGUUGCAGGGCGCGGAACGAAGCCUCCACGCCGAGCUCGCCGGAGGGGGCGUGACCACCUCUUCGUUGAGGCGCGAUGGUGGAUGCGCACAACCACCUCUCAACCGAUCCACGCCGCUCCGUCUUGUACUGCCCCCCAGCUUCCCGCCCGCACUCAACAGGUGAGAUCCCUUCCGAUCAGUGUGAUGCGUGCAAAUCCUUCGUAUGUUUGAUUCCAUCUAUUCCUUCUGAUUCAUGUGAUCUGUAGAGAUCCUUCGUGUGCUUGAUUUCAUAUUUUUUGAGUAUAUAAUUAAUUGGUCACCAUCUGUUUGUGAUUUUGCCUAGCUGAGCAAACGUUUAUGUUUUACAUACUGCCAAUUACUUGAAUUGCAGGCUCUGUUUAAUUUGCACUCCACUGUUUGACCAUCUUGUAAAAAACGAGGGCAUGUUUAUUAAUGAGUUUGGCUCUUUCUAGGUACUGCAUUUGCUGACUUAGGUUAGUUUGUUUCGUAUGUGCUACCACAGUUAUCUUGCAGAUUAUGGUAGGUGUGGAUGUUUUUCGGGGUCCUUUUUUGUUUUGAUGGUAAACCAGGUAGAUACUUUGUUGUGCAGGCUAGAAAGUUGUAUCUGUACUAAGAAUUUUAUCAGGAUAUAUUCAGUCAAGAGCCCAGAUUUCUUAACCGCCUUUGUUCGACUAAAACAUCUAAAACUCAUCAGGGUUUUUUUCAAUUUUGAAAGGAAAUUUCGGUAGUUUUACAACUGUGGUGACUUUUAUGCUUGAAUAAUGGAGUGGCAUAGUGUAAUGUUGCAUCCUACAAAGGCACAUUGAUUUAUUUAUUUUUUACGCCUGUUUACCUUCCAUGAAUUGUAUUGCUGGUGUGUUGUUACAAGUCAUUUCAUCAAACUGAAACCUGGUGGUAUUUAACUAUCCCAACAUGCCAGUUGAAAACACGGCUUGCAAAAGGAACAAACCAACACAGACUAAAUUUGCUGGAUUGUUGGUUUACAACCUUUGUCAAUAUUUUGCCUUCGGAACGCAGAACAAAUUUUCUUGAUUGUCGGUUUACAAAAUGUGUCAAGAUUCUUGCCUUCGGAAUUUGGCAUAUAGACAACAUGAGGAACAAUCGUCGGGCAUGAUGGUUACAGAAUCACGAGCAGCCGCCGUAAAUAACCUUCGUAUCUCCAUUUCAUCAUACUUAGGAUAUUGGAGUCAGGCUCCUGCUGCCUCAUGGUCCGCCCAACGGCAGCGAGAGGUAAAAGAUUUUAAUGUUAUUAUCCUAGUGGGCGAGGUAAUGUCAAGCUGAGGAGAGAUUGGAGGGAGCCCAAAUGAAUCAUAAAAUUAAUUACAUGAGGAAUAUGGAGAAAAAUCAAGCACCGAUUUGUUUGUUGACUUAUUUGUUUUGUAAAGGGUUGCAUAUACAGAAAUUGAGUAGAUUUUUUUGCUAAAAUGAUCUUCAUUCAUCAUAAAGAAAGUAACGAUCAAACACGUGCAAUGAGAGAGUGUUAGGGUAUCCGCAAUGAUAGAUUCGGCAUUGACUCUCCACAUCAUCUAGAAUCGACAACAAAAUACACAUGUAAUAGGUUGUGUUUUUACCCUUACUAUAAAUGGUUUGUUAGCAUUAUAUGUGAUGAUGUAUGAUGUUAAAUAUGUUGACUCUUAACUGACUGUUAAUCGA